rnacentral:rRNA from 1 species
GAGCCUGCGGCUUAAUUUGACUCAACACGGGGAACCUCACCAGGUCCGGGCACCGGAAGGAUUGACAGAUUGAGGGCUCUUUCUCGAUUCGGUGGAUGGUGGUGCAUGGCCGUUCUUAGUUGGUGGAGCGAUCUGUCUGGUUUAUUCCGAUAACGAACGAGACUCUAACCUGCUAACUAGUCGGCGGAUCGCAUCCCCGCGACCCGCGUUGCGCUUUCACUGGGGCUUUGUCGCGAGUGGAAUAACGGCGCCCUUUGCCUCUUCCCUUCUCUCGGUCUCGGCGUUCCGUCGCGGCGGAGGAGCGGCGCUAGGUGGUGAGGGGGUGGGGGAGUGGGAUGCGGCAUGGGGAGGCGGUGGCUCAGGUCGCCGUCUUCCCCUUGUCGUACUCCCGCUCUUCUUCUCCCUUUUCCACCUUCGUCCCCCUUUCGUCGUUGCGGGUCAUCCGUCGUGGUUCGGGUUUGGGGAUUGGGUUCUGGGCGUCGCCUCUCCCCCCUUUGGAGGACGGCGCGGCCGGGGACGUCCGUCGCAACUUCUUCUUAGAGGGAUAAGCGGCGUCUAGCCGCACGAGAAAGAGCAAUAACAGGUCUGUGAUGC